rnacentral:tRNA from 1 species
GCCCUUGUGGCGGAAUGGUAGACGCGGCAGACUCAAAAUCUGCUUUCUGCAAGGAAGUGGGGGUUCGAGUCCCUCCAAGGGCACCA